UACGGAGGGGGCUAGCGUUGUUCGGAAUUACUGGGCGUAAAGCGAGUGUAGGUGGUUGUCGUAGUCAGGCGUGAAAGCCUUGAGCUCAACUCAAGAAAUGCGCUUGAUACUGGGCAGCUAGAGGACCGGAGAGGAUAGUGGAAUUCCCAGUGUAGUGGUGAAAUACGUAGAGAUUGGGAAGAACACCAGUGGCGAAGGCGGCUAUCUGGACGGUUUCUGACACUAAGACUCGAAAGCGUGGGGAGCAAACAGG
rnacentral:rRNA from 1 species